rfam:Anaerococcus lactolyticus ATCC 51172 genomic scaffold SCAFFOLD3, whole genome shotgun sequence.
GGAGAGGUACCGAAGCGGUCAUAACGGGGCGGUCUUGAAAACCGUUAGAGUCAUUGGCUCACAAGGGUUCGAAUCCCUUCCUCUCCG